rnacentral:rRNA from 1 species
AUAUUGGUCAAUGGACGGAAGUCUGAACCAGCCAUGCCGCGUGAAGGAUGAAGGCGUUCUGCGUUGUAAACUUCUUUUAUAUGGGGAGAAACCACCUUUUUCCAAGGGUGUUGACGGUACCAUACGAAUAAGCACCGGCUAACUCCGUGCCAGCAGCCGCGGUAAUACGGAGGGUGCAAGCGUUAUCCGGAUUUACUGGGUUUAAAGGGUGUGUAGGCGGACUGUAAAGUCAGUGGUGAAAUCUCCGGGCUCAACCCGGAAACUGCCGUUGAUACUGAUGGUCUUGAAUAUCGUUGAGGCAGGCGGAAUAUGUCAUGUAGCGGUGAAAUGCUUAGAUAUGACAUAGAACACCGAUUGCGUAGGCAGCUUGCUGGACGAUUAUUGACGCUGAGGCACGAAAGCGUGGGGAUCAAACAGG